rnacentral:lncRNA from 10 species
GGGCCCGGCAGCUACAUUUACAAUACAAACGUUGUACAUCUGCCCCUCUGAUAUGGUUUGGCUGUGUUCCCACACAAAUCUCAACUUGAAUUGUGUCUCCCAGAAUUCCCACGUAUUGUGGGAGGGACCCAGGAAGAGGUAAGUGAAUCAUGGGGGCUGGUCUUUCCCGUGCUAUUCUCGUGAUAGUGAAUAAGUCUCACGAGCUCUGAUGUGUUUAUCAGGGGUUUCUGCUUUUGCUUCUUCCUCAUUUUUCUCUUGCUGCCACCACGUAAGAAGUGCCUUUUGCCUCCCACCAUUAUUCUGAGGCCUCCUCAGCCAUGUGGAACUGAUGACACAUCUAGAAGACCCUCACCUUAUGCUUAUGCUGGCCCCUUGAUCUUGGCCUCCAGAAAUGUAUAAUGAAGAAUCUUGAGGUCCUCCUGGAUUACCAAAGUGGGCCCUAAAUCCAGUGGCAGAAGACACAGACACAGAGAGGAGACCAGGUGAAGACAAAAGAAGAGGCUGGAGUGAUGCAACCAUCAGAGAGUGAAAAUACUCAGUUACCUCCUGGUUUAUGAGGCAAUGAAGUAUUCCAGCACAUAAAUAUUGACGCUGAGACCCAUGGGAUGUAGGAGUGCUGAGCACAUUUGCAAGACAUAAAGACCGAAGUGUGUGUGGUAUCUAGAUGAGAUGCAUGGUGAUGACUGGAGACUGGGCGUGAUGAAUGACUUAGGAAACCUCUGGAGGGUGCCUGCUUUGUGGCCAUAAACCACUGUGCCCAUGUGGAAAACACUGCAGUCCUGGGGCAGAAGAUAAACUUCAUGCUUGAUAAAAAAAAAAAAAACAACCAAAAGGUUAUUCUCUGGACCAUAGCUGUGAAUCAUUCACCCCAAGUCUGAGAGCAAUAUGGUGGGCCACGUUCAACCAGGGUUCUGAUUUUACCUACUGUGCGUGAGCAUGUCACAGGUGUACUGAUGUAAAUCUGGAACAUGGGAGGAGGAAACACUCCAAUUUCCAUUCUGUCUCCAGCGGCAUGUCUGACAGGGGUGGGACCAUCCAUGACUCCAACUCCUUUCCAAUAGAUCAGUCAUGUUCCAGUUUCUUUCAGAGGUGAAUCACUUCAAAGAGAAGGACCAGAUUCUCAUGGACCCCACUGCCAUGCUGGCCAGACAUCUUGCUGCCAUUGUUUUCCUGUUAUUUACUCCCAAACAGAUGGAGUGUCGCUCUGUCACCCAGGCUGGAGUGCAGUGGCACGAUCUCGGCUUACUGCAAGAUCUACCUCCCGGGUUCACGCCAUUCUCCUGCCUCAGCCUCCCGAGUAGCUGGGACUACAGGCGUCCGCCACCACGCCCGGCUAAUUUUUUGUUUUUUUUAGUAUAGACGGGGUUUCACCGUGUUAGCCAGGAUGGUCUCAAUCUCCUGACCUCGUGACCCGCCCGCCUUGGCCUCCCAAAGUGAAGUCUCUUUUCAAAAUCUUAAUGCUUACCUGUGUUUCUUUUAUGAGGAACGUCACGGAAUCAAGAGUUUUUGUCUUCAUUCUUAUUAACUUGUAAAAAUUCUAAGUUAAAGACAUAACCCUUUGUUGUAUUUGUUGUAAAUAUUUUGAAAAUUUGAUGUUUCUCUUUACAUUUUGUUUUCGUGACUUUUUCAAGUCUAAUAUUUAGGUAUAAUGGACGUAUGCCCAUUAAACCUGUGACUUCCUUUUAUUAGUCUUCUAGCCAUAGUAUUCUGCUUAGAAAGAUUUAGCCCAAAUUUUUAAAAAUAUUCUCCUUCUUAUUCAUCUUGUUAUUUUUUAUUGUUAUGUUCUAAUUCAUAUUUAAUAAUUUUGGUAUGCAUGAUAUGCAUCUCUGUCAUACCAAAUGGAGGAUUAAUUGUCCCUGAAUUUACGUGGACUUAGCCCUCAGUCUAUAUAAUUUCCUUCCUAAUCUUCAGCAUAAAUCCAUACCUCAUACUGUUUCUGUAAAAUACUUGUCUUCUCUGUUUCAUCCAUUAUUAUGAUUCACAUCUUAUUUGGCCAAAUUUAAUUCUUAAGCAACUCUUUUCAGAAUAACAUGAUUGGUAUUAUACCUUCUGAGCCUUUAAUGACCAAUAUAGGUUUUUUUUUCCCUCAGAGAUGAAGAAUAGGUUAAAUAUGCCAGAAUUUCCUAAAUACUCCACUGACUCUCCAAUGAGAUUUUAACAUAUUUUAAAGUAGAAGGGGCACUGUUGUCCAAUAAAUUUGGGAAAGUGUGUUAACAGAAUUAAAACUCUUUUUGAUGUGUGCGUUUACGUUUGAAUUUAUUGCAGGGUUUCUCAGAGCUCUUAAUAAAACGUGGUGUUUUAUGUUUUUCUAGGAAAUAAAUGUAAUAUAUAUUACAUUUAUAAGUACGCAUAAAGUAGGCAUAAGAUAGGGACUCCCCUCCACUUCAGACUGGGCAAAUAGGAAGACCCCAAGUGUAUAUACGGAAG